rnacentral:tRNA from 1 species
GCGGUCGUGGUCUAAUGGUAUGAUCUCAGCUUUCCAAGCUGAGGGCCCGGGUUCGAUAACAGCCCUUUCUUUUCACAAAAGAAAGGUCCGUCACCCCCAAAGAAAAAGAGGGUUCGAAAAUCCCGUCGACCGCA